rnacentral:rRNA from 1 species
CCUACGGGAGGCAGCAGUAGGGAAUAUUGGUCAAUGGGCGGGAGCCUGAACCAGCCAUGCCGCGUGCAGGAAGACGGCGUUCUGCGUUGUAAACUGCUUUUAUACGGGAAGAAAAGGCCCAUGCGUGGGACAUUGCCGGUACCGUAUGAAUAAGCACCGGCUAACUCCGUGCCAGCAGCCGCGGUAAU